rnacentral:rRNA from 1 species
UACGUAGGGGGCUAGCGUUGUCCGGAAUCAUUGGGCGUAAAGAGCGUGUAGGCGGCCCGGUAAGUCCGCUGUGAAAGUCGGGGGCUCAACCCUCGAAUGCCGGUGGAUACUGUCGGGCUAGAGUGCGGAAGAGGCGAGUGGAAUUCCUGGUGUAGCGGUGAAAUGCGCAGAUAUCAGGAGGAACACCGAUUGCGAAGGCAGCUCUCUGGGACGGUACUGACGCUGAGACGCGAAAGCGUGGGGAGCAAACAGG